rnacentral:lncRNA from 1 species
UAACUGUUAUGAAAAGUCCCACCUAACUGACUUCUCCGUGCUGGGCGGGAGCACCUGCCACUGGUGAAGCCCUCUGGUACAGAACUCUGGCAUGCAUGAAGUCUGACUCCCUGUAAGAAUCUGUAGUGAAUUUUACAGUGUAGAACUCAAAUCAUUGUCCUUUCAGGCAAGACAUGAUCGUUAUGGCAGGCAGGUCACAUCACAUGGACACUCCACUCGAAUCACACUACCUUCUCUGCAUAGGGCAGAAGGGUGCAGGUGACACUGGGAAUAAUGAGGAAUCUGAUAAAGAGGGAUUGUGUUACCCUAGAAGGCUGUAAAUUACUGGAUUGGGUUGGACAUACUAUUCAAUGAUCAGAACUUACCUUUGAUGGUUCUACUGAAUUUGUGGCAGCUGAGGGGAACUUUUUGGCUACACAAAUGACAUGGAACUUCCACCUGCUUUUAAGAUUAUUGUGCAUGCCUCUUUUAUAGCUUUAGACAGGAGGCAGUGUAUUGUUUAAUAGAACACUGCUAGCCAAAACAUAGGGAAAAUCAAAUGCUGCA